CCACGGGGGUAAUGCCUUUAGUAGCGGCGAGUGAAGCGGCAAAAGCUCAAAUUUGAAAUCUGGCUCUUUCAGAGUCCGAGUUGUAAUUUGAAGAAGGUAUCUUUGGGUCUGGCUCUUGUCUAUGUUUCUUGGAACAGAACGUCACAGAGGGUGAGAAUCCCGUGCGAUGAGAUGAUCCAGGCCUAUGUAAAGUUCCUUCGAAGAGUCGAGUUGUUUGGGAAUGCAGCUCUAAGUGGGUGGUAAAUUCCAUCUAAAGCUAAAUAUUGGCGAGAGACCGAUAGCGAACAAGUACAGUGAUGGAAAGAUGAAAAGAACUUUGAAAAGAGAGUGAAAAAGUACGUGAAAUUGUUGAAAGGGAAGGGCUUGAGAUCAGACUUGGUAUUUUGUAUGUUACUUCUUCGGGGGUGGCCUCUACAGUUUAUCGGGCCAGCAUCAGUUUGGGCGGUAGGAGAAUUGCGUUGGAAUGUGGCACGGCCUCGGUUGUGUGUUAUAGCCUUCGUCGAUACUGCCAGCCUAGACUGAGGACUGCGGUUUAUACCUAGGAUGUUGGCAUAAUGAUCUUAAGUCGCCCGUCUUGAAACACGGACCA
rnacentral:rRNA from 1 species